rnacentral:rRNA from 1 species
UGACGAGGUGGUGCGAUGGUUGUCGUCAGCUCGUGUCGUGAGAUGUUGGGUUAAGUCCCGCAACGAGCGCAACCCUCGACCUUAGUUGCCAGCAUUCAGUUGGGCACUCUAAGGUGACUGCCGGCUAAAAGUCGGAGGAAGGUGGGGAUGACGUCAAAUCAUCAUGCCCCUUAUGACCUGGGCUACACACGUGCUACAAUGGGCGGUACAAAGGGUCGCGAACCCGCGAGGGGGAGCCAAUCCCAAAAAGCCGCUCUCAGUUCGGAUUGCAGGCUGCAACUCGCCUGCAUGAAGCCGGAAUCGCUAGUAAUCGCGGAUCAGCAUGCCGCGGUGAAUACGUUCCCGGGCCUU